rnacentral:rRNA from 1 species
UUGGCUUAGAAGCAGCCAUACAUUUAAAGAGUGCGUAAUAGCUCACUAGUCGAGAGAACCUGCGCCGAAAAUAAUCGGGGCUAAAACACACCACCGAAGCUACGGAUUUCCUGCUUAAGGUAGGAAGUGGUAGAGGAGCAUACUGCAAGGACGAAGCCUGAUUGAGAGAGAAGGUGGACGAAGCAGUAGAGAGAAUGCCGGAAUGAGUAGCGAGAUAUAUGUGAGAACCAUAUAGGCCGAAUAUCUAAGGAUUCCUGAGUGAAGCUAAUCUGCUCAGGGUAAGUCGGGACCUAAGGCGAGGACGAGAGUCGUAGUCGAUGGACAACUGGUAGAGAUUCCAGUACUAUGUAUAAUCAGAACUGUGGGGACGCAGGAGGAUAGAUGGACCGCGGAAAGGGAAGACGCGGCCAAGUACAAAGUCAAGUUAGGUAGGCAAAUCCGCCAAAUGAUGAUGAAGUACGACGGGGACUGAAAGAAAGUAAGGAAGUCAUUGAAUCCACACUGCCGAGAAAAGCCGCUAUAGUGUUAUACAUACCCGUACCGUAAACCGACACAGGUAGAUGAGGAGAAAAUCCACAGGCCGACGGGAGAAGUGUUGUUAAGGAACUCGGCAAAAUGACCCCGUAACUUAGGGAGAAGGGGAGCCACGCAAGUGGCCGCAGAAAAGAGGCUCAAGCGACUGUUUAGCAAAAACACAGGUCUCUGCGAAACCGAAAGGUGAAGUAUAGGGGCUGACACCUGCCCGGUGCUGGAAGGUUAAAAGGAGAGGUUAGCCGCAAGGCGAAGCUUUGAAUUCAAGCCCCAGUAAACGGCGGCCGUAACUAUAACGGUCCUAAGGUAGCGAAAUUCCUUGUCAGGUAAGUUCUGACCCGCACGAAAGGUGUAACGAUUUGAGCACUGUCUCGACAACACGCCCGGUGAAAUUGAAGAACCAGUGAAGAUACUGGUUACCCGCAACAGGACGGAAAGACCCCAUGGAGCUUUACUGCAGCCUGAUACUGGGAUUCGAUGAUGUAUGUACAGGAUAGGAGGGAGACUGCGAAGGUAGGACGCCAGUCUUGCCGGAGUCGCCGGUGGGAUACCUCUCUUACAUCAUUGGAUUUCUAACCUGCAUCCGUGAACCGGAUGAGGGACAAUGUCAGGCGGGCAGUUUGACUGGGGCGGUCGCCUCCAAAAGAGUAACGGAGGCGCUCAAAGGUCUUCUCAGAAUGAUUGGAAACCAUUCAAAGAGUGUAAAGGCAAAAGAAGGCUUGACUGCGAGGUCGACGGACCGAGCAGGUACGAAAGUAGGACUUAGUGAUCCGGUGGUAAUACGUGGGAAUGCCAUCGCUCAACGGAUAAAAGCUACCCUGGGGAUAACAGGCUGAUCUCCCC